GGCCCCGUAGCUCAGCUGGAUAGAGCAGCCGCCUUCUAAGCGGCAGGUCGUAGGUUCGAGCCCUACCGGGGUCGCCA
rnacentral:tRNA from 21 species